AUGAAAUGAGGCUUGGCGAGAUGCCUUGAUUGAUGAAUGGAAAUGCAAAGUGAAAUCACUAGGGAGAGAAGUGAUCAACUACUCUGACUUCUUGCAUGUUCUUUGAGAAUAAUCCCAUUAUCAAAAAAUCACAAUUAAUUAAACUUUAAAAAACAACUAAACACUUUUAAAUCUAAAUAAAUAAUUAACAAUUAAUAAAAAGAUAAUAGUAAAACAAUAAAACU
rnacentral:lncRNA from 1 species